rnacentral:lncRNA from 1 species
GCUGCCUUUAGGAAACCAUAAUGCUUUCCUAUUUGCUGCUGACACAGGAUGAGUCAUGGACAUGUUUAAUUUCUACUUUCUUUUUGGCUAAUUAUUAUAUAUUUAAUUGAUCCAACUUUUUGUGUACUAUACAUAUGUGGAUAUCUAUUUUUCUUUUUUUUUUUCUUUUUUUUUUGGGCUGCUUGUUUGUUAUCUAUAUCAACCACACUUGUAAUAAAAUGCAUUAGUAUUAAAAAAAAAACCAACAUACUAUAGAUUCUUUAUCUAC